UGUCUGUCUGUCUCGUUUUCUAGCUGUUUCAAAUAUGGCUGUUUGCUUGGUUGCUGAGAAAGUAGAAUGAAAAUUGAAAGGAAAAGAAACGAUACUUAGAAUUCCAGCUCAGUAAAUUGAAUUGAAAUUUAAGAACUGAGAUUGUUAUUUUAUGAAUAAAGUUUGCUGCUUUUUUGUUCUUAUUGUCAUUUAUACGUGGGUGAGCAGACACAGGUGCCCCUGCAGCAG
rnacentral:misc_RNA from 1 species